rnacentral:rRNA from 1 species
CCUACGGGUGGCAGCAGUGAGGGAUAUUGGUCAAUGGGGGAAACCCUGAACCAGCAACGCCGCGUGAGGGAAGACGGUUCUAGGGUUGGAAACCUCUGUCCGCUGGGAAGAAAAUGACGGUAGCAGAGGAGGAAGCUCCGGUUAACUACGGUCCAGCAGCCGCGGUAAUUCGUAGGGAGCCAGCGUUGUCCGGAAUUACUGGGGGUAAAGGGUGUGUAGGCGGCUUUGCAAGUCAGAAGUGAAAUCCAUGAGCUUAAACCAUGAAGUGCCUUUGAAACUGCAGAGCUUGAGUGGCGUAGAGGUAGGCGGAAUUCGCGGUGUAGCGGUGAAAUGCGUAGAGAUCGGGAGGAACACCAGUGGCGAAGGCGGCCUGCUGGGCUCUAACUGACGCUGAGGCACGAAAGCGUGGGUAGCAAACAGGAUUAGAUACCCUUGUAGUC